rnacentral:rRNA from 1 species
AGAGUUUGAUCCUGGCUCAGAGCGAACGCUGGCGGCAGGCUUAACACAUGCAAGUCGAACGCCCCGCAAGGGGAGUGGCAGACGGGUGAGGAACACGUGGGAACGUACCCUUCGGUUCGGAAUAACUCAGGGAAACUUGUGCUAAUACCGGAUACGUCCGAAAGGAGAAAGAUUUAUCGCCGAAGGAUCGGCCCGCGUCUGAUUAGCUUGUUGGUGAGGUAACGGCUCACCAAGGCGACGAUCAGUAGCUGGUCUGAGAGGAUGAUCAGCCACACUGGGACUGAGACACGGCCCAGACUCCUACGGGAGGCAGCAGUGGGGAAUCUUGCACAAUGGAGGAAACUCUGAUGCAGCGAUGCCGCGUGAGUGAAGAAGGCCUUUGGGUUGUAAAGCUCUUUUGUAGGGGAAGAUAAUGACUGUACCCUAAGAAUAAGGUCCGGCUAACUUCGUGCCAGCAGCCGCGGUAAUACGAAGGGACCUAGCGUAGUUCGGAAUUACUGGGCGUAAAGCGCGCGUAGGCCGUUGAGUUAGUUGAUUGUGAAAUCCCAAAGCUUAACUUUGGAACUGCAAUUAAAACUGCUCGACUAGAGUUUGAUAGAGGAAAGCGGAAUACAUAGUGUAGAGGUGAAAUUCGUAGAUAUUAUGUAGAACACCAGUUGCGAAGGCGGCUUUCUGGGUCAACACUGACGCUGAGGCGCGAAAGUAUGGGUAGCAAAGAGGAUUAGAUACCCUCGUAGUCCAUACCAUAAACGAUGAUUGCUAGAUGUUGGAAAUUUAUUUUCAGUAUCGCAGCUAACGCAUUAAGCAAUCCGCCUGGGGAGUACGACCGCAAGGUUAAAACUCAAAUGAAUUGACGGGGACCCGCACAAGCGGUGGAGCAUGUGGUUUAAUUCGAAGAUACGCGCAGAACCUUACCAACCCUUGACAUGUCUGUCGCGAGUUUAGGAAACUAGACUUUUCGGUUCGGCCGGACAGAACACAGGUGCUGCAUGGCUGUCGUCAGCUCGUGUCGUGAGAUGUUGGGUUAAGUCCCGCAACGAGCGCAACCCCUACUUUUAGUUGCCAUCAGGUCAUGCUGGGCACUCUGAAAGAACUGCCAGUGAUAAGCUGGAGGAAGGUGGGGAUGACGUCAAAUCAUCAUGCCCCUUAUGUCUUGGGCUGCACGCAUGCUACAAUGGCCGGUACAAAGUGCUGCGAGAUCGUAAGAUUGAGCGAAUCACAUAAAGCCGGUCUCAGUUCGGAUUGAGGUCUGCAACUCGACCUCAUGAAGUCGGAGUUGCUAGUAAUCGUAGAUCAGCAACGCUACGGUGAAUACGUUCCCGGGGCUUGUACACACCGCCCGUCACGUCACGAAAGUCGGUAACACCCAAAGUUAGUGGCCCAACCGCAAGGAGGGAGCUACCUAAGGUGGGAUCGGUGAUUGGGGUGAAGUCGUAACAAGGUAGCCGUA